GCACUAUUUAUUCUUUACACACAAACCAUUUGUUCCUGCAAACAGUUUAUAUUAGUAAAAAUAGUGUUAGAUAAAAACAAAACUGAAAUGUUUUAUAUGUGAAUAUAACUAUAUUAAAAUUUAUAGAAAGAAUAAACACAACAAAAACUAUAUACAAAUAUCAGUUACAGCUAUAAAUAACAAAAAUGAAGCUUUAGCUUGUCAUUUAAAGUGAAUGCUAAAUUGAUUGAUUGAUUAUGUCAUUAAAUUAUGCAAGGAAUGAAUACAUUUGGCAGUGAUCACUUCAGAUCUUGCUGCAGGCUGCCAACAUCCAUAAUGUUGUCAAGUGGAAGAUUGAAGGAUGGGUUUAAUGAGCUGGAUAGGAACUGUACUCUUUCUGAAAAAUCUGAAAGCAUGGGAUCCAGAAUUGAACCCAGUUCUUUCUAUAUGGUAAGUGAUUGUUUUACACUUGGCCAUCUAGCUGCCCAUUGAUUUUGGAUUAGAAAUUUAAUUAAUAGUAUAUCAGGAGAUAUAAAAUGAUUUUCCUAGUAAUGUUAUAUUGCCUGAAAAAUUAUCGAAUCUAAUUUUAUCAUGACCUAUAGAUAUUAAUAUCAGAUUGUCCUGUAAGUAAUUUGUUUUUUUAUUGCAAAAUGAAUCCUGU
rnacentral:lncRNA from 1 species